AUUGAACGCUAGCGGGAUGCUUUACACAUGCAAGUCGAACGAGUGGCGGACGGGUGAGUAAUGUCUGGGAAACUGCCUGAUGGAGGGGGAUAACUACUGGAAACGGUAGCUAAUACCGCAUACCAUCGGAUGUGCCCAGAUGGGAUUAGCUAGUAGGUGGGGUAAAGGCUCACCUAGGCGACGAUCCCUAGCUGGUCUGAGAGGAUGACCAGCCCAACUGGAACGGAGAAACGGUCCAGACUCCAACGGGAGGCAGCAGGGGGGAAUAUUGCACAAGGGGCGCAAGCCGGAUGAAGCCAUGCCGCGUGUAUGAAGAAGGCCUUCGGGUGGUAAAGUACUUUCAGCGGGGAGGCGUUACCCGCAGAAGAAGCACCGGCUAACUCCGUGCCAGCAGCCGCGGUAAUUC
rnacentral:rRNA from 1 species